GGCGCGAUAGUUCAAUGGUAGAACAUCCUCAUCCAAUGAGGGAGAUGGAGGUUUGAUUCCUUCUUGUGCCA